rnacentral:rRNA from 1 species
AUUGAACGCUGGCGGCAGGCUUAACACAUGCAAGUCGAGCGGGGGAAGGUAGCUUGCUACCGGACCUAGCGGCGGACGGGUGAGUAAUGCUUAGGAAUCUGCCUAUUAGUGGGGGACAACAUCUCGAAAGGGAUGCUAAUACCGCAUACGUCCUACGGGAGAAAGCAGGGGAUCUUCGGACCUUGCGCUAAUAGAUGAGCCUAAGUCGGAUUAGCUAGUUGGUGGGGUAAAGGCCUACCAAGGCGACGAUCUGUAGCGGGUCUGAGAGGAUGAUCCGCCACACUGGGACUAGGACACGGCCCAGACUCCUACGGGAGGCAGCAGUGGGGAAUAUUGGACAAUGGGGGGAACCCUGAUCCAGCCAUGCCGCGUGUGUGAAGAAGGCCUUAUGGUUGUAAAGCACUUUAAGCGAGGAGGAGGCUACUUUAGUUAAUACCUAGAGAUAGUGGACGUUACUCGCAGAAUAAGCACCGGCUAACUCUGUGCCAGCCGCCGCCGUAAGAC